GGAUCCAGACUUUGAUCAUGGCUCAGGACGAACGCUGGCGGCGUGCCUAACACAUGCAAGUCGAACGGAGAAUUUUAUUUCGGUAGAAUUCUUAGUGGCGAACGGGUGAGUAACGCGUAGGCAACCUGCCCUUUAGACGGGGACAACAUUCCGAAAGGAGUGCUAAUACCGGAUGUGAUCAUCUUGCCGCAUGGCAGGAUGAAGAAAGAUGGCCUCUACAAGUAAGCUAUCGCUAAAGGAUGGGCCUGCGUCUGAUUAGCUAGUUGGUAGUGUAACGGACUACCAAGGCGAUGAUCAGUAGCCGGUCUGAGAGGAUGAACGGCCACAUUGGGACUGAGACACGGCCCAAACUCCUACGGGAGGCAGCAGUGGGGAAUCUUCCGCAAUGGACGAAAGUCUGACGGAGCAACGCCGCGUGAGUGAUGAAGGAUUUCGGUCUGUAAAGCUCUGUUGUUUAUGACGAACGUGCAGUGUGUGAACAAUGCAUUGCAAUGACGGUAGUAAACGAGGAAGCCACGGCUAACUACGUGCCAGCAGCCGCGGUAAUACGUAGGUGGCGAGCGUUGUCCGGAAUUAUUGGGCGUAAAGAGCAUGUAGGCGGCUUAAUAAGUCGAGCGUGAAAAUGCGGGGCUCAACCCCGUAUGGCGCUGGAAACUGUUAGGCUUGAGUGCAGGAGAGGAAAGGGGAAUUCCCAGCGUAGCGGUGAAAUGCGUAGAUAUUGGGAGGAACACCAGUGGCGAAGGCGCCUUUCUGGACUGUGUCUGACGCUGAGAUGCGAAAGCCAGGGUAGCGAACGGGAUUAGAUACCCCGGUAGUCCUGGCCGUAAACGAUGGGUACUAGGUGUAGGAGGUAUCGACCCCUUCUGUGCCGGAGUUAACGCAAUAAGUACCCCGCCUGGGGAGUACGGCCGCAAGGUUGCAACUCAAAUGAAUUGACGG
rnacentral:rRNA from 1 species